UCUUCAAAAAAUGCUCAAUUCCUACAAUUAGUUCCCUCCCCCUCCACUUUUUUGACCUCAGAAAUUGGAGGGAAAAACUACAAUUGAGAUUACCCUUUACAGUUUUAAUUUAUAACUUUAAAACGACUUACUGUUUUAACGUUUUAUUUAAAUUUAUUUCAGUGCAUCAACACUACAGCUAGUUUAAUUUGCCCGUGUUUGGGCAAUAGCGUUUUAUCCCGGACCAUCUUGCGUCCUGUUUUUUGAGUUCCAAACAUCCAUGAAUUCUUGGCAUAUUAAUUUAGUUGGUUUACAGACUUCUACCGAAUUAUGAGUUUACGAGAAAAAAAGUUUAGGUGAGAAUGAUUAAUUUAUGCUCCCUAUUUUCCAGUUUACGUUUUUUAAAAUUAGGUUUUCAAUCCUAUUUUCUGCCCUACUUUUGAAAGCAAAAAAAAAAAAAUAGUUUCUUAACUUUUUUCCUGGGACAAGGAACGGUUGCAAACUCGAAGCUAUAGUAUUCUUGGAGAAAGAAGCAACCCCCCUCCCUCCCUUGGCUCCUUUAGGAGCUGAUAGGUCAUUUAUUAUUGGAACUGAAAUGGUAUAAACAAUUCUCUCUCUUUUUUCCCUUGUUAACAGCAACUUUCAUUGUUAGAGAGAGGAGAGAGAGAGAAGCCUUGUUGGUUGACGUCACUUGGUUCAUGAAGCCUUCGCCUAGAAGUGAAGCUGCUGAACAAACCUUGAGAAGAAUCAUCUCCUGCUUCAAUCUGCUGCUGGAUAGGAACUAAUCAGAGAGAGGCGGAAGGCGGAGAAGGAGGGAGUCAAGGGCUUUCCCGAUCACAAAUCUCACCUCCACUCCAACUCUCUUUAUACUUUUCUUGCAAAAAUAAUAAUCGAGAUAAGGAGGUGGUAGGGUUUCCAAAAACAAAAAUCGUAACCUUCAACCAUCUGGGGAAGACAAAAAUCCCACCCACCGCAACUCUCAGUUCGAAAGUAAAGAUUUCUCAACAGUGAUGUCACAAGAUUGACCACAUUGAUCACAGUAAGACUAAAACAAUAAUUAAGCUUUUAAGGAUGUUUUGUUUUCUCCAGAAUAACACUUGAGUUGG
rnacentral:lncRNA from 1 species